UGAUUAUGGGGCUCAGAAUAGGCCAUAGAUAGCGCUGUCACGCUGUGGUACUGGCUGUGAAUCUUUGGGAAAGUCUGGCUUACACCCAUAUUUGCAUUAAGAAAGGCGUUGAUCGUCUGUCAGCACUGACAAAAUCGAUACUUUACUACUAAGUGUGGCCAUAUUGACUUAAAGGCAAGCAGCCUACACUGGAAACUGCAAUAGCUGGAGUGAUUGGGCUCAUCAGAGCAGAUUCUCAUUAUUUAGACAUGCUUGUCAUACAGUUUCUUAUGCUGCAUUGUUCUGUUGUCUUAUUGGGCCCCUGCAUGUACACAUGUAAUUAUCGGUGUUAAAAGCAUGUUACUAAGGUUGUUAUUGAACAUGACAUGAUGACCAAUGUGAGAAUAAUCGUGGCAGAGAAAAUACUGUGGCAGCAGCAAAUCAGUCAGUGCUUGUGUGUGUUUGUGUAUGUGACAUAUCCAGGUCAGUCAUACUGGGUGCCUUAUCUGUCUGUUACCUGUUGGCCACCUUAAAGCACUUACCCCAGCUUGGCCUGUCUGCAGCACUGAUAGCCCUUGCUUGCCACAAAGCUUUUCACAAAGUGACUUUGCGGUGCCUGCAUGAGAAUGAAUGAAACUACCAGUAACAAGGAAACUUACCGUGAUGAAAGGGAGCAUGCUCAACUGCAGCUUUCACUGGUGAGGUGUGGGAGGAAGGGAGAGGGAGGAGAGGUGAAGGUAGAACCUGCAAAACUGCUUUGUCACAGUGGUACAACAAUGGAAUCCUUUAGAUAGGGGAGGCUUGCCUAUAGUCAUAUAGUUCACUCCCAACGCCAACCGCCACAGAGGAGGCUAAUGAACUGCAAGUAGAUGUCUGACUCAUGGCGGGAUACUUGUAAGCACUACUAAACACAAACUAUCCCAUCAGCUAAAUAUCAGCACAGCUGAGAGCGUGAAGACUUAAUUUAACCAAGGAGAAAAACUAAACAAUGAAUCGAUUAACAAAGCAGAUGAUGAUUAAACGCCUUUCAGACAAAAAGCGAUCAUUUAACUUGUCUUUCCACUCUUACACUGACCCAUGUUACACUGACCUACUUUGAUUGGACACGUUUGUAAUGUAUUGCCUUGCUUAUCACCAGGAUGCUGCAAAAGCAAAGCAA